rnacentral:rRNA from 1 species
GUGCAUGAAACAAUAAGACAACAUUUGUUGAGAGCUCAGCAACGUCAAAAGACCAAGGUUGACAAUCAGAGAACUGAACACAUUAAUAUUGGAGAUAGGGUUUUUGUAAAAAUGCAACCUUAUGUUCAAUCAUUUGUGGUUCAUCAUGAAAAUCAUAAACUUGCAUUCAAGUUUUAUGGUCUGUAUUUGACUAUUCCACGAUUGGUGACGUUGCUUAAAGACUGGAAUUACCAGAUUCUAGCAGAAUACAUCCGACUUUCAUGUUCUCCAAUUCGAGAAGUAUAUUCUACUUGUGGCUCAAGUUCAAACAUCUUUACCUCAUGUUGA